AAAUAAACUAGACAGACCACCCAUUUUGGUCAAUACAUUCCCAAACUACUUCAUCAUAGUACGCGUUAGUUCUUUUGUAUGAUGACAGUUGUUUUCUAUAAUUAAGUCUUAUCUCUGACAUGUAUAAUUAGAACCCUUGGAGCCUAAUGAAUUUUACAUAGAUAUGACCAGGUCUGGUAGAAGAAAAUCUGAGUACUAUAAAUUAUUUCCAGUGGCUGGAUACCUUGUAAAGAAAUUGCCUAUAAACAAAAUUACUUUUAUAAAACUAGAAGUCACUGAUCCAGUUAAAUGUUCUGUUGCCGCUAUUAUGGAAUGUGAAGUACACAAGAGGCAUUAUGAUCAUAAGAUCCUAACCAAGUUACAAUAACAAUAUCAUUCUAACAUAGUCUAGAAAUGUCUAAGACAAAGACUAAAAGUUAUAGGAAUGCCACUCACCCGGCUGACAAAGGAUAAAACACGGAGAUCUUCCUGAAAUCUGUAGAGUGCAAUACUCUUCAGAACAUCUGCGGCGAUGAUGAUACUUUUAAUGAUUCGCAAGGAGUGAAUAUAGAUCAGAGAGUCAAUAAAUGCCACUCCUGACAAGUCAUCAUCUUUUAAAGACCAGAUAUAAAUCUAAAAUAAACAAAACAUAAUUCUUUUUUAAAGGUUUAAGAAAAUAAAUUUAAUACAGUUUCCAUAUGUUUAUACUUUCA